ensembl:lncRNA
GGGAAGGUUGCUUUUCUGUUCAAGUUUUCAGGACAUUUGUGUUAAAACUGGUGAAAUAUGUAGCAUUUCAUCAGCAUCUUUACAAACACUCCAGAACAGGCAGCAUUUUGGGGUAGCAGGUUGAGGUGCUCUGGGUUAUGUAUGCGUGGAAUGGCAGGACUGGGUAUUGGUUUUAGGUGGGGCUCAGUGGCAGCUCUUCUGCUCUUGAAACUGUAGAGCCCUUUUUUAACCACACACCCUGCUUUUUUUUCCUUAAGACAGCUGAAGAAACUGGAGUUGAAAAAUAGGUCAGGAUAUCAACACACCUUUAAAACCCCUGCUGUCAGUUGCCAAUGUCCAGGAAAUACCAAGAGGAAAAAUAAGCUGCAGUACUGGGAACAGUUGGGAUCUCUUGUAGAGAAGAGAAGGUCAGGGAAAUGAGCUUCCCCAGGGACUUUCUACUGCUGCUGAAAGAGCUCAAGGUUUAAGACUCCUAUCUGCCCCACAGAAACAGAAAUGAUGGGAAUGUGGUUGCCACAGAUGAGAUGACCCAGCUACCUGGAAGAGAAACAACAGAGUCUCAGGAGAAUGUGGGCAGCAAGGGGUUUUCUUGAAGAUGCUCACAGCAGAGAACCCUCCAAGUAUGGAGUAAAAAGCCAGUUCUGUACUGUAAAGCAAUAGAUUCCAGCAGCCAAAGAGGGAAAAGAAAUGAUUGCCAACGUGCUUUCCCUCCAGCAAGCUGGAAAGUAAAUUUGAAACUGAGUGUGAACAGUAAGCAGCUCGUGUGGUGAGUCAGAGUGAGGUCUUGCAUUAGAAUUGAAAAGUCAUAGUGUACAUUUCUGCUCAUGAGUGAAACCUGGACUUCCUUUUCAGUGCCUUCUUAGGACAUGCCAGCCCUGUCAGCAGUCAUGGCCUGGUCUUAGAAAUGAAACUUAUUUUGUUAGGCCCUGCCUUGGGUCACUGCCCAUGGCGGCCUGUCUCUUUUGCAUCGUGCCAUCUUCACUUGUGGGAGCAAUGGGCUUGGUUUUGGAUCUCGUUCUAACCACUGUUUAUGCAGCCACCUCCUUGUGCCAAACCAAGCUGGACUCCAAGGCCACGUCUGUGCUCUCUGGAACAGCACUGGUGCAAUCUUGGUGAGUAACACUGCUUCCCAAGCCAGCUUGGCUGGAAAGCAGCUUCCCAGGCUUUUUUGUGCAGGCAGCCAGUUAAGAUGUUACCCAGAGCCUGCUGGACUAUUCCAGCUACCAGAUCUUACUGUAGACAGUCUACAGGAAGGUGAUUUCUAUGCUUUCUCUGUUCGUAGUUAUCCUAUAAAUACAUUGGUCUGGAUUAUCUAUGUUUUUUCAAGUCCUCUCAAGGCAUUACUGUACAAGUAGUAAAAGUUAUCAAAACUAACUAAAAAGCUUAACUUUGUUGACCUCUCCCACCCUUUGUGCUCCAACAGGGCACUUUUCCCCCUGUGUCCCC